rnacentral:rRNA from 1 species
UACGUAGGGUGCAAGCGUUGUCCGGAAUUAUUGGGCGUAAAGAGCUCGUAGGCGGUUUGUCGCGUCUGCUGUGAAAAUCCAGGGCUUAACCCUGGACCUGCAGUGGGUACGGGCAGACUAGAGUGUCGGUAGGGGAGACUGGAAUUCCUGGUGUAGCGGUGGAAUGCGCAGAUAUCAGGAGGAACACCGAUGGCGAAGGCAGGUCUCUGGGCCACUACUGACGCUGGAGAAGCGAAAAGCAUGGGGAGCGAACAGG